rnacentral:rRNA from 1 species
AUUGAACGCUGGCGGCAUGCUUUACACAUGCAAGUCGAACGGUAACAGGCCGCAAGGUGCUGACGAGUGGCGAACGGGUGAGUAAUGCAUCGGAACGUGCCCAGUCGUGGGGGAUAACUACUCGAAAGAGUAGCUAAUACCGCAUACGAUCUAUGGAUGAAAGCGGGGGACCGUAAGGCCUCGCGCGAUUGGAGCGGCCGAUGUCAGAUUAGGUAGUUGGUGGGGUAAAGGCUCACCAAGCCAACGAUCUGUAGCUGGUCUGAGAGGACGACCAGCCACACUGGGACUGAGCCACGGCCCAGACUCCUACGGGAGGCAGCAGUGGGGAAUUUUGGACAAUGGGCGCAAGCCUGAUCCAGCAAUGCCGCGUGCAGGAAGAAGGCCUUCGGGUUGUAAACUGCUUUUGUACGGAACGAAACGGCUCUGGUUAAUACCCGGGGCUAAUGACGGUACCGGAAGAAUAAGCACCGGCUAACUACGUG